rnacentral:lncRNA from 1 species
GCUAUAAAUAUCUACUCAAUAUGGACAAGUUGUUCUUCAUCCGAUACUAUAGAAUUCGGCUUUGGUCGUCGUGGAUCUUUAAUGUUGCUUGCGUACAGUUUUUGCACUUUCUGCUCUUCGUAUUUUCAUAAAAAGAGUAGCAUAUUGUCAAUGUUGUUAAGUAGUAGCUUCUACAAUGACAUCCACCUGGAAAUCCAGAAUUGAUCAAUGCUAAUUACGAAGAUACAAAAAAAAAAGGAUAACUCAUCUAUUUUAGAAAAUCAAAUAGGUCUUCCUUCUAUUUUAAACUAUCCCAAAGAUAUUAUAUUUCUAUUACAACAGAUGGAUCAACUAUUGGGACAAAUUAUAACAUGAGGAAGACUUGUAUGAUAAUUUUCAACGAAUGAACCAUCUGUUGCAACAUAUGACUCAUCUGUUUGAAAAAACUGAAAUGGUAGGAAGUGUUGGUUUAAUUUAUCCCAACAGAUGACCUAUCUGUUGCAGUAGAUUGGUCAUCUGUUGAUACAAAUAAAAGAGGUAUAUAGAGUUGUUUAAUUUGCUACAAUAGACGAGUCAUAUGUUGCAACACGUACUUUAUCUGAUGCAGUAGGUUAGUCAACUAUUGCAACAAAUGUAUAUAUCUGUUUGAUAAUUUUCAGCAGAUGUGUCAUCUAUUGAAACAGAUAUAUGUUUGUUUUUUUGUUGGAACAGACUAUAUAUAUUCACCUUCUUUGGCUCAUGAUGCUCUUAUUUGGUCAUUGUAUAUUGCUUAAUAGUGCAACACACGAUCAGAGGAGUUGCAAUUUUGCUUUUUGGAAUGCUUCAUAAUGUCUUGGAAAUUACUUUCCUUCUCCUCUUAGCCUUAAUCUCUAAUGGAGUGGAUGGAUAUAAAACCCUCUUUGAUGAAAUGACACCCCUCUAAGAUGUCAAUUCCUUUACAAAAGUAGUGAUGCAUUAAUAGCAUUAAUCACUACAACAUGUUUCGCCUUGCAGUCUUGACAUUUGCAUACAGAACAUUUAUUUGCAUACGGAGCAUUCCUAAUUAACUACAAAACAUCACAGAACAAAAAAUAAUAUGCCUAAAUAUGUCAACUCUACUAGGAAAACUCUCUGAAGAAAUGAGGCAUGGGAACAAAAACCCUAAGAGGACAUCAAGACCCGCAAGUAGCCCCACCCCCAACUUAAAAUCAUGCAUUGUCCCAAAUGCAUCAAACUUUUAAAAAACAAGAGAGUUAGGAACAUACCUGUGGCACCAUAGGUGCAGAGAUAUGAAGCAGAUCAUGAACACAAAUACAAACUACAAAAUACCUUGGGUUACCUCCCAAGAAAUACCUGAUUUACUAUCGUGGUAUAACUCAAAUCCCUUGGAUACUCUGACUUCGCCAAGGUCUAUUUCAUCACAAACUCUUACUUCUUCUAGGUUUCCAUAUAGUGUUUCACUCACUGUUCGUUCACUUUAAAUGGGAUAUUACUAUAACUCUUUAUAUCAACAACACCAUAAGGUAACACCUUAACCAUAGUGAAUGGUCCAGUGCAUCUUGAUUUUAGCUUACCAGGAAACAAGCGUAGUCUUGAACUGUACAGCAAGACCAAAUCACUGGGUUUGAACAUCCUCUUCUCGAUCUUCUUGUCAUGAUACAAAUUCAUUCAUUCUUUAUAUAUGGAUAAGCUCUCAUAAGCACGAAGUUGGAAUUCAUCUAACUCAUUUACCUUGCUCAACCUUAAGUUUUCUGCAUCACGCCACUCAAAAUUAAGCCUUUUCAAUGCCAAUAGUUCUUUAUGGUCAAUCUCAAUCAGUAAGUUGCACAUUUUUCCAUACACAAUCUGAUAUGGAAAGGCACUAAUGUGGGUCUUAUAGGUAGUCCGGUUCUCCCACAAUGCAUCGUCUAACUUUCUAGACCAAUUGGUCCUGUUGGCAUUCACAGUCUCCGCCAAUAUGGACUUUAUCUCUAUAUUGGAAACUUCCACUUGCCCACUCUUCUGAGGAUGGUAAGGUGUUUCCACCUUAUGUCUUACACUAUAUCUAUCAAGUAGUGCUUUGAAAAAAUGGUUACAAAAGUAUUACCCACUAUCACUAAUAAUUGCAAGUUGAGUGCUAAAUCAAGGAAAGAUAUUUCUCUUCAAAAAGGCGGUGAUGCUUCUACCUUUAUUAUCUGGAAGUGCAACUACUUCCACCCAUUUUGACACAUAGUCAACCACUAUCAGAAUGUAUCUCAUACCAGAAGAGCUUUAAAACGGGCCAAUGAAAUCAAUCCCCCACACAUCGAACAACUUCAACUCUAGAAUAGGUGUUAUGGAAGGUACCUGGUGCUAAAACAUAUUGCCUUGUUGCUGACAUUGGUCAUAGUAUUUUGCAAAAUUAUGAGCAUCCUUGUAAAUUGAAGGCCAGUAAAGCCCACAAUGUAGAAUUUUGAGGGUUUCUUGUGCCGCUAUGGUGACCCCCAACUGGCAAAGAAUGACAAGGUUCCAGAAUAAUUAUCAUUUCAACCUCUGGAAUACAUAUUUAAAUCACAAAAUUAGUACAAACCCUUAAUAGAUGUGGCUUAUACCAAAAAUACUUCCUUACCUCAUGCAUAAAUCUCCAUCACUGCUGGAUGGAUAAAUCUUCUGGGACAAAACCGUUUGCCAAAUAAUUGGCAAAAUUAGCAAACUAGGGAAUCAAAUGUUGAGAUGCUGCCAACACUUGAUCAUCAGGAAAAGCAUCAUCUAUCUCAAUAUUAUCCCCUAUUUUUUGUAUGGUCUCCUCCUCAGGUAUGGAUAAGUGGUCAGCAACUUGGUUUCUUUUCCUUUUCGGUCUUUGAAUUCAAAUCAAACUCUCAUAUCAAAACAACCAAAUGAAUUAAUAUGGGUUUGGAAUAUUUCUUGGAUAUCAAGUACCUCAGGGAUGCAUGGUUGGUGUGCACUAUAACCUUAGUCCCAAUCAGAUAAGACCAAAAUUUUUCAAAAGCAAAAACCACCGCAAGUAGCUCUUGCUCUAUAACUGUAUAAUUUCUUUAUACAGUUUUUAAAGCUUUUCUGGAAUACUAGAUGGGAUGCAAGAUACUCUCUCUUCUUUGGCCUAGAACAGCUUCCAAGGCCACUCCACUCACAUCACACAUUACCUCAAAAGAUGCAGACCAGUCAGGAGACACAAUGAUAGGUGUCGAAAUCAAUCGAUCCUUUAGGCAUUUAAAAUCCUUGAAACAAGUAUCGUCGAAUAGAAAUUUAACCUCCUUCUCUAAAAGCUUGCAUAGAGGGCUUCAAGUUUUAAAGAAGUCUUCCAUGAACCUCCUAUAAAAAUCUGCAUGCCCCAAAAAACUCCAUAUGUCUCUAACUGACACUUGCAGUGGCAACUUUUCAAUAACCUCUAUCUUCGCUUUAUAUACCUUAAUACCAUGUUUGGAGAUCUUGUGCCCUAGCACUAUUCUUUAUUUCACAAUGAAGUGGCAUGUUUCCCAGUUUAGUACCAAGUUGUACUCUUCACAUCUCUAUAGUGCAAUGGUCAAAUGGGCUAAACACAAUCAUCUAUGAAUACUUGAAUAGUGUCUUCCACCAUGUUGGAGAAUAUAGAUAUCAUACAUCUCUAAAAAACGGGAGGCACAUUGCAUAUUUCGAACGACAUCCCCUGAAUGCGAAGGUCCCAUAGGGGCAAGUAAAGAUUGCCUUUUCUUGGCCUUCGAGAGCAAUCAUGAUUUGAUUGUACCACGAGUACCCAUCAAGAAAAAAGUACCAACCCCUGCCUACUAAUCUAUCCAAUAUCUAAUCCAUGAACAGCACCGAGAAGUGGUCUUUUUGUGUCCACUUAUUCAGUUUUCUAUAGUCCAUGCAUACUCUCCACCCAGUCGCUAGCCUCAUUGGUACUAAUUCAUUCUUCUUAUUUGGAACCAGUGUAAUUUAUCCUUUCUUUGGUACUAUUGAACUGGACUCACCCACUUGUUGUCUGUAAUGGGAAAAAUCACCCCUGCAUCUAACCACUUGAUUAUCUCUUUUUUCACUACCUCCUAUAUAGGAGGAUUUAGUCGUCUCUGAUGCUCAAUAUUGGAAAUGUUAUCUGGAUUAAGUUGUAUCUUGUGUAUGCAUAUGCCUAGUAAAAUCCCUAAAAUGUCUGUAAUAGUCCACCCAAUAGCUUUCUUAAACUUUUGUAACACUUAUAUCAAAGCUUCCAUCUAUGCUCCUGCCAAAUCUUCUGCAAUAAUUAUUGUAAAGUAUUGUUGGCCCCCAAGAACUCAUACUGCAAAUGAGGUAGGAGGGCCUUUAAUUCCAAUAUAGAUUAUUCUUUAAUUGUUGGUCUUGCAGGAGGUGUGGUUUUUUUCUUCAAGUCAAGAUCCAGCUUCUUAGCGGCAUAUUUGUAAGAGCCCAAUCUAUGUAAUGAACUAACCAUCUCAUCAUAGUCAUCUAUUCCAUCACUCUCAAAGUUUAUAAUCAUACUGCUAAUGCUUCGACCCCUAAUAUCUCCUCAAUAGGCAUAUCCGUUACAACCACAUCAUUAUCUACUGCAUCAAUCACUGCUACCACUUUUAUAUCAUCAGGCUAUUGAAUUGUCAUGCAUAUAUUCAACACUAUUUGCUUAUCACUCCAUUUGAAAGUGAUCUCAUCUAUGUUCAUAUCAAUGAAUGCUCGAUCAGUGGAUAAGAAAGGUCUUCCCAAUAUAAUUAGAGAGUGGGUAUGUACUUCACAGUCUAAAAUUAUGAAAUCUGUUGGAUAAGUAAAUGACACCACCUUCACUUCUACAUUACGCACAAUACCCACUGGCUUCUUUACAGAUGAAUCAGCUAUCAACAAUCUUACAGAUAUAGGUUUGAGUUUGCCUAACCCCAAUACCUUGUAUAUCACCAAUGGCAUUAGAUUUAUUCCUUCUCUCAUAAGGCCUAAUAGAACAUGGUAUGUUGAUUUUACCUUAGUCUCUCUUCUUUUCUACUAAUGGUGCAUAAAAACCUACGCUAAACUUCUACACUAUAUCUUGGAGCUCUCCUGCUACCCAGUCGUCAUCAUCAUCGCUCCCAAAAUCAUCAUCACUACAAUCAACUUCUCAAAUUUAGCUUGAGAUGGCUCAUCUGCAAUAAUAUUUUCUUUCUUUUUCUUAUUAGUAGCCGCCAAAAAGUUCUCGUCGAGUGGGGAACCACUCAUCUUAUUAAUAGCCAUACAAUGAACCAGUGUUGGAGGAUUCAGUGCAUUGUCUCUAAGAAGUACUCCUAACUGUCUCUCGACUAAAGUAACAAAGAUUUGCCCAUACUGCUCCUCCAACUUCUUGAUAGCAAUUGCAUGUGACUCAACCUUUUGGGCCAAUCCUAAAACAUCUGCCUUGAGUUCUCUAAGGUAAGCCUCUUGACUCUCUUGACCCUUCAUCAGCUUAGCCAACAUUUCUUGUAUUCUUAAUUCCAUAUCUCGUUUGUUAGGUGGGAUGUAUUUGUCUCCAUCAUCAUAGUUUCGACCUUAAUUCCCUUACCCUUAGGCUUGGAAACUUGCUAAUGGAUGAUCCAGAUAUUUUACCUCCUCCUCAGACUCAGACUUUUGCACCCUAGAAGUUGCACCUUAUACCUCUACUGUAUUAUCCUUUCCAAAAUUUAUUGUUGCAAAUUUCUAAGCCAAUUUAUCAAUGUCUUUCCUCAAUAGUGAAAUCUCCUUAGCUACAGCAUCCUCAGCUGCUUUCUAUUCACCCAAAUCUCCAAUGGCAUAAAUGUGAAAUCCUCUCUCAACCUCCUGAGUUUGCCGUCCUCGGUUAGUUAAUGAGAUCUAAUCCAUAAUACUUGAAUCCAUCUCACAUAGUAAUAUCAUGAAGGCUCCUCAAAAUAUAGUGUCUACUAUUGCUCUGAAAUUGAUAGUCAGGGCUCUGAGAAGAUCUCUCUAAUACCCUAUACUUUUCUUAGUUCUGUUUAGCUCGUAGUGUGUCAAGGUCAACUUUAAAAGUGAAUAACUCUUGAUACGUGGGAAAUUUUCCAGCUCUAAACCUAGCAAAGUGUAUAUAAUUGAAUUACUUUCCAACGAUACUAAUUUUGCCUAAAUCCAAUACCCGCGUGAGAAGUUAUGACACUUUUCAUGAAAAGCAGUAGUUCACCGCGAUUUGGUCGCAUCACGGUGAUACCCAAAAUCACGCUCGUCCCUUUCCUGUAGCUCACCGUGAUUAGCCAGUGUCAUGACAAAAAUUGCGGUGGGAUAGACAUCCUGUUUCCAGUGAAGCAACGCGAUAGCACCACAUCGCGAUGGAGUGCAAAUUCGCACUCGUCCAUUUUUCUGUGAUGCAAUGCGAUAGCACCGCGAUGUGCAAUAGUGCGAAAUUGCACUCGUCUCUUUUCCAAUAAGCCACCACGAUGGUGUCGCGUCAUGCCGAGGUGUAAACUUGGGAUUCCAGUUUUGAACUUAAAAUUCCAAGGGGCAACUUAGUCUUUUUCCAAGCCCCCAAAUCAUGAAAAACAGAAGAUUUAACCUAUUCUAAGCCUAGUACGCUUACUUUUCACAAAAUUGCUCUCCAAAACAACCCUAGAGUUUCAAUUUUAAUCCUCAAGAAAUCUAAAUUUUACCAUUAUUUUUCCAAGAUAGCCCAAAAUUCAAGGUUCCCAAUUUAAGAUCUUCAAGAAACGAUCUUUAAAGCACAAAUAGGGAUUCAAGGGCAAGUGUCUUCAUCAAUUUCAUCAAUUAAGGUAUGUGGGGUUAUGAACAAGGAUACUCUUUUAUUCUUAUGUCCAAAACUAAUUUUAAAGUUGAAUUUUACAUGAAAUUAUAUGAAUUUCAGUCUAGGGUUUAUACCCACUCAUCACUAUUUGUUGAUUAUGAUGUUAUAAGUGAUUUAGAUGUUGAAUUGCAUGUCUACUUUCGUAUUUUAAUGUGUGUGACUUUAUUUUUCAGAUUUAGAAUUGAAUUUUCAAGACUUUCAUUACUAAGCAUGAACGUUAUGAUGAUUUGAUAUAAAUUUGAUGCAUGGGUUAUUAAUCCCUAGUUUGAAUAUUGAUAUUUCAAGAAUGACUAUGCUUUAAGCACCCUAUGAUUAGUUUAUAUUCAGAUUUUGAUCAAAAUUUGAUCUUUUGAUCUCAGCUAAGAUAUGGAAUCCACUUUACAGUUUUAAUUACAGUUUAAAAUAAAUAGAUACACAGUUGGUUUUCAUAAUAAACCCUUAUACUAGUUUUAAAGUGGAUUUUCUACAGAAUGAGCAUACAAAUUAAAGGGAGUAGUAUUUAGCAACGAGUUAGGUAUGUUACUACGAGCCAACGUUGGUUCAGAUUAUUCCCAUUUAUAAGGAUGAGAGAUACAGAUUGUGUCACUUACUUUAGGUUAUACUCCUUGGUAAGAGUAUGACAUCUCUCCCCAACGUGAGGUUAUCUCAUAAGAGAACUAGACAUUGGAUACUAUGAUAGCUCACAUGGUGUAUGUCAGUUAGCAGAACUUCCCGAAAGACUAAUAACUUAAUUCCUAAAAUAGAAUAACAGAACAACUCCUAGAAACUAAGUGUAAAGGCUCAAGAAUUUACUCAGAUAUGGUUCAACUUAGGACACUAAUUAUAGAAUUUCAACUUUUAGUUUUCAUAUGAUAAAAGUGAGUCCUUCCUACACUUAACAUGCAUGAUUUGAAAAUAGAUUUCAAGCACAUAUUUAGAACUAAGUGUGGUGGCUCACACCAUUCAUAUAGUAUGUUUUAUCAUUCAUGAUUUAUGAUUACAGCUUUUAAUUACUCAAGCCAAGGUGGUCCAUUUAUACUUAGCAUGCAUUGUUUAUGAGAAAGAUAUAUAUAAUCCAUCACUAUUUUACUUAUGCAUUCAUCCCCACAUGCUCAGAACAUUCCAGAAGAACUAAUCCACAUAUAUGUCUUUGUGUUACAUUAUUUAAUAAUGUAGGUUCAGGUGCUCAGUUUCAGCAGCAUGAAUGAUUUCAAGCAUCUACAUCUAUAUCCCGACAAUUGGUGAGUCCUCAUAGUUUGGGACCUAGUUAUUCAACUUUUUAGCUUAUUAAAGUAGUUGAUUCAGUAUUUACAGUCAAUUUGAGUCAGCUAGGGGUAUGUCCCAGUGGCUCUCUAGUUGCAUCUUUCACUAUGUUUACCUUCUUUAUAAUUACAAACCUAUUUAAAAAUUGACUUCUUAUAUCACAGUAUAUUGAAAAAAUUCUCUGCCUCAUGAGGGGCAGACAAUUAGCGUACCCAAAAGAUUAUGAUGUUGCCGAUAGGAUAAUGGACCUCGACUUCUACAGGAAUCUCAAGGAUAGGUACGAUUAUCUUGAUAUGAUAGCGUCAACUCCCGGUGGUGAGGGAUUUUAUUCGUUACUUUCUGGGUUCCAAUGAGAUGAAGAAAUGAUAAAAUAUGUUAGAGGAGAGAGGACAAAUCCGCACGGCAAGAGCUGGACCGAGGCAAAGAGUAUUCUUGGAGUCACAAACAUGAAAGACAUAUAUUAUCGAAUUGUUGAGAUACUUCUCGAGGAGGUAAAUAUCAAGGUUUAUGACUGCAACUUACUUGCCUUGGACGAGGUUGAUUUUUUUCCUAUAUGCAACCACUGUUAGAGUUGUUCCCUAUCUAGUUGAGGCAGAGAAAAUUGAUGGAUCAUUUGACAAUGAAGUGUUGAUGAAGCAGCCAUGGGAUUUUGAAGGUUGAAACAAGGACAUGGACCUUCCAAAAGAUAAAACCGUUGUUGUGUGCGGGUCGCACGCUCUUGCACACAUUGAAUGUUUGCUGACCACCACAGAAAUGACCGAGCCAACGACCUUUCUAUGCGACAACACUGUGAUAAACAUGCAAAAGGUCUGGGCUUAUGGGGUAGUAACUGGACGCUUGGAGCCUGUGUAUAAAGAAGAGCCUGUGAAAUAAUAAUUAUUUUUAUUUCAAGUCACUUUACUUUACAUUAUAUACAUGUAGUGGCAAUUUUUUUGUCUGGUGAAAGAUGAAUUUUUUAAAAUGUUGUCCAUCUGUUGUAAAAUAUAUUCUAUUUGUUCUGACAGAUAGUUUAUCUAUUGCAAUAGGUUGGUCAUCUAUUGCAUUAUGUUGACAUUUCUAUCUAAGUCUUAUCUGUUGCAACAGUGGGAAGAUCUGUUUAAUAAUUUCCAACAGAUGACCUACAUGUUGCAACAUAUGUCUAAAUCUGUUUGAUAUUUUUUAACAAUUAUGCUUGAAUAUUCAUGUGCUCAACAACAUCAAACCAGUAGCAAAUACAAUUACACUACCAUGAAAAUUUCAGCAAUUAAGCUUGAAUAUUCAGGUGCCCAACAACACCAAACUGGUAGCAAUAACGCCAACAAUGUAGUAUCUUCUUGCUCGAUUUUGUUUCUCUUCAAAAGCCUUGACUUUCUUCAACAAACCCCAAAUUACAUGAUUUGCUUGUAAAGGGUGUCGUUCUUCAUACCAAUCAAAGUAAUCACAUCCACCCAACUUCUAUAAAAUCAAUAACACAAUUACAAAAUAAUUACAAGUCAAUAAUUAAUCAACUAAUUAAAUAAAAAAAAUCUUACCUUUAAAAUCUUACAAGUAAAAAAUCUACGACCUGAAUUUUGUUGAGUCUAAGAAGUCUUCAAUAGAGCUUUAUGACCACACUUACAAUAUCAAAAAUAUUUAGAAGCUCAACAUUGUCAAGGUUAGUUGGAAAAAAAAAUAUGCAGAAAAAUCAAAUAGAAAUAAUUUGAAGAGUUUGGAUAGAAAAAAAAAAAGAUGAAGAAGAAAAAGAAGAUUUAGAAAUUUAGGGUUAAAUUUUAGAAAGAAGAUGAAUAUAUAAGACAAUGGAGGGAAAUAACCGUUGGAGGCCAAAUCAGACGCCAAGUCAGCAAAAAUGGGGGUUCAACAACCCUUGACUGCGUGAAUUACACGCGAGCAGCCAACAGGGCAAAAACUGUCAAAGUUACACAUUUGAUGUCUAUUUUAUUUUAAGUGUUUAAAAUGAACACUGUCUACUUGAUACCUAUUUUAUUUUAGGUGUUUAAAAUGAACACUGUCGAUGGGUUCCGCCUUUUUUAUUUCAAGUCACUUCAUUUUACAUGUAGUGGCAAUUUUUAUGUCUAAUGAAAGUUAAAUUUUUAUAAUGCAACAGAUUUUUCAUCUAUUGUAACAGAUAUUCUACCUGUUCUAACAGAUAGUUUAUCUGUUGCAAUAAGUUGGUCAUCUAUUGCAUUAUGUUGAUGUUCCUAUCUAAGUAUAUCUGUUGCAACAAUAGGAAGACAUGUUUGGUAACUUUCAACAGAUUACCUACCUAUUGCGACAUAUGUCUAAAUCUGUUUGAUAUUUUCAAAUAGAUGUUUCGUCUGUUGCAACAGAUACAAUAUAUGUUGCAAUAUUUGAAUAUAGUAUUCCAUUUAAAUUAAUAAUUUCAAAUCUAAGAAAAAAAUAAAAUUCAUAGACAAAAUAAAAUAAAUUAAAGCCUUCAGAAAUUACAUGAAAUAAAUCAACAAAUAAAUGAAAUGUAAAAAAUUAUUAUGGGUACAGAUCUCAACAAAUACAUCAACAAUUUAAGCAUUAAUCCCAAGAAUUCCUAAGGAGGGGUGAGGUUAUUACUUUGAAAAACUCGAGCUAUAAAUAUCUACUCAAUAUGUACAAGUUGUUCUUCAUCCGAUGCUAUAGAAUUCGGCUUUGGUCAUCGUGGAUCUUUAAUGUUGCUUGCGUACAGUUUCUGCACUUUCUGCUCUUCGUAUUUUCAUAAAAAGAGUAGCAUAUUGUCAAUGUUGUUAAGUAGUGGCUUCUACAAUAACAUCCACCUGGAAAUUCAGAAUUGAUCAAUGCUAAUUACGAAGAUACAAAAAAAAAAAAAGGAUAACUCAUCUAUUUUAGAAAAUCAAAUAGGUCUUCCUUUUAUUUUAAACUAUCCCAAAGAUAUUAUAUUUCUAUUACAACAGAUGGAUCAACUAUUGGGACAAAUUAUAACAUGAGGAAAACUUGUAUGAUAAUUUUCAACGGAUGAACCAUCUGUUGCAACACAUGACUCAUCUAUUUGAAAAAACUGAAAUGGUAGGAAGUGUUGGUUUAAUUUAUCCCAACAGAUGACCUAUCUGUUGCAGUAGAUUGGUCAUCUGUUGAUACAAAUAAAAGAGAUAUAUAGAGUUGUUUAAUUUGCUAUAAUAGACGAGUCAUAUGUUGCAACACGUACUUUAUCUGAUGCAAUAGGUUAGUCAACUAUUGCAACAAAUGUAUAUAUCUGUUUGAUAAUUUUCAGCAGAUGUGUCAUCUAUUGAAACAGAUAUAUGUUUGUUUUUUUGUUGGAACAGACUAUAUAUAUUCACCUUCUUUAGCUCGUGAUGCUCUCAUUUGAUCAUUGUGCAUUGCUUAAUAGUGCAACACACGAUCAGAGGAGUUGCAAUUUCGCUUUUUGAAAUGCUUGAUAAUGUCUUAGAAAUUACUUUCCUUCUCCUCUUAGCCUUAAUCUCUAAUGGAGUAGAUGGAUAUAAAAUCCUCUUUGAUGGAAUGACACCCCUCUUAGAUGUCAAUUCCUUUAUAGUUAAUGCAUUAAUAGCAUUAAUCACUAUAUCAUGUUUCGCCUUGCAGUCUUGACAGAACAUUCAUUGGUAGAGGCAAAAUUUGUAUAACUAGUAUGAUCAUACUCAUAAUUGUUUAUUUUAAAAACUGUAAGAGGAACUCAACAACAACAAGCUCACCCUCCAAAAUUAUUUUUCUUAUAAUGGUUGUUACUCCAAACAAUUUUAUUUUUAUUCUAUCAAUGACUUUAGGUCCGAUAAAAUUUGCACGAACCAUAAAGUAAGAAAAAAUAACAUUUUCAACUCUCAAUUGGUCAGAACAAGCAACGAAUGCACAAUCUAAUAUAAAUCAUUACAAAUACUAGAAUGAUGAUUAGAUCAUUCAAAAAAAUCAUUAUAAAACAAAAACUUAGUUAUAAUUAUACUUACUACAUCCUUCGAGGGGUGAAGAGAUCAAAAAAAUUUACAUUUUUAUCCAUUGUGGCCGACAACCAUCUCAAAAUUCUUGGACAAAAAACUUCUACCUGAUAGUUCACUUGUUGUCUCAAAUAAGAAAUGACUUCAAAUGCCCAAGCCUAUAAAAUAAUACUAAUAAAUUAAAAGCAUUGUCGCACCCCAUUUUCAUCGUGAAAGGCAGGAUUCGACUUGACUCUUUUUGGAUGCGUUAAAAAAGAGUGUGAGAGUCACCACCUAACGUAUUAAGGUGUCUUAGAGCACCGGUCUAGACUACAACGAACCUAUUUUGUUGUUAACAUAGGGAAUCUACAUCACCAAAUAAAGGUCUCUCACUUUACUAUUAAUUUAAGGUUUGACUACGUGAUAAAGUAAUUAACAAACAUUUAAUUUAAUUUUUUAGCCAGUAAUCACCAAAGUGAUAAAAUCAAUAAAAAUAUGUAAAUAAGAUAAGAGAGGAGAAAGAAAUGACAAUCAUAAUAAAGAGGAUUCCUUAUAUAAUAAACUAACUACCCCAAAUAAACAUGUAAAGUGAAUAUAAAGACUUAAAAAGAAAUCAAACAAAUCAAACAAAGAUAUGUUUUGACUUAAUUUGGCUCAGAAACCCAACUUGUUAAUCAUCAUUCAACCCAGGGACCAAACUCUUAGACAAGUAAUAAUGUCAUUAACCUCGCAUUUUAAUAUCUGUUGGAAUCAUCAUUUCCAAAUGACUACUCAUCCACCCCCACCUACCCCCACCUAGGAUGGAAGUCAAAUCUGAGGACGUACGUUAUUAGCAGUACGUAACGUCCAACCUAUCAUCCAAGAGGGACUACACUAUUUUGGCUUGGUGUUCUACACACAAAGAAAGCUAUGUUGCCUAGAACUCAAAACGCAUUACACGUUGAACCAACCUCAAGUAGCACAGAAUUGUCCCAAGUUAGCCUCUUGAUUAAUUAUUGUUAAUUAAUGUGAUAGCAAGGAAAGACAAGUAAUUACCUAUUAUGUUGUUAACCUAUAGCCAUUAUGUCUAAGCAUUCAAUAAUUGAUAGUAUUAACAAUAACUGUAACUCGUACGUGUCACGCGUGUCACUAAGUGUUAACAAAAGGGGGCCAAAAGUGUAGUCAAUGUGUAAGAACUAUAAUGCUAUAUGCCUAACCUUUUAAUAAGCUAAAAUGUUAACCUUUUAAUCAGCUAAAAUGUUAAUAAUGCAAGAAUUGAAUGUUAACAUGAUUAAAUUUCAAGACUAUCAUGCUGAAAAUAGUUAGAAAAAGUAAAUGCCGAGGUUAUGUAAAUGUAUUUAGUUUAAUAUGCAGAACAUUUCAUAAUGUGCAAAAUAUAUCAAGAUGUGCAGAAAAGAUGUUAUGAAUGUGCAGGAAAUAUUUAAAAUGUACAGAAAAUGUUUUGUAAUGUACAGAAAUUAAAUGCUACAUUGUUUUAAUAACAUUAACAUGCUGAAAUUUCAUUUAAAGGUGCAGAAAAUUAGUGCUAACAUACUGAGAUAAUUAAUUAAUCAUUCUAAGGCUUAUUUUAACGUGCAGAAGUAAAAGGUGCAGAAAUUUCAACAUGCUGCAGUUUGCCUAAGCCUUUUGUUACCAUGAUGAUAAAUAUGUUAAGUGAAAGAAUUUAUACUAACAUGUUCCAGUAAGAUUGACAUGCUGAAUGCUGUAAUUUUCAUCAGUGUUAAACAUGCAAGGUUUAACAUGCUAAAAUAUAUUGGUAUGCCAAAAUUAACCGUGCUUAAAAAAUUAACAUGCACCACCAAUAUGCUAAUAUGUUUGAUGUCAAAUAAUGUAUUAAUAUGCUUGAUGUAAAAUAACUUGGUAUGUCGUUCUUAGUUAGAUCAAAAAUAAUUAACAAAUUAUGAAUUAAGUGUCUAAACUAUUUGUAUGUUAAUGAACCCUGAUAUUUUGUGCCUAAGUGAUUCAAAUAGCACGUAACAAAUAUGAAGCUUAAAUCGGUGCCUAACGAUAUUAUUCAUAGAGCACAUAGUUCCCCACCCCCAGAAGCAGUCCCCAAUUUAUUAUUACAUCACAGUGUAGCGUUUAUACAAUAUUAAAUACCAAUAAAACGAAGAAUCAACUAAACUAAAAAGGGAAAAACAUAAUCCCUCUCAAAUCCUCGAUCAACUCUUCAAUUCCCCCAAACUUGUUAAACAUAGUGGCAUAGCAUGGCAAGCACAAAGAGGCUAACGAAAAUAUCCUAAAUACAAAAUGACACAACAACGAUACAACACACAAAAGUCCAUGUAAUUCCUAAAUACAUGUUUUCUAGCAUCAUCAUAUAAGGUAUUGAAAUUACGUCGUCAGAAACAUCUGAUAUAUUUUGAUAGAGAGUAGGGAGAGUGUAAAUAUUAGAGAGUCCCUUCUUGAUGAAAGAAGAUGGGGUUUAUAUAGUGUGGAGGGGGAAUCCCUCUAGGUAUAAAAAAGGAAAAGAAAUAUACAGCAAUCAAGAAUCAAUAAAAUCAAAUUAGUGUAAAACUUACCAUAACUGUAUAAGCAAAGUAUUUUUGAAUAUAGAACAAAUAAUGGCAAAUAUGUACGAACACUAGUAUUUAAUACAAGUUCGUCAAUCAUGUGGGACAUUCUCUAUUCAAACUAAUUUAAUUAUGUCAAAGAGAGAUACAAAUAUACCAAAAAUAGGUAAGUAAGAAAAGAUAUUAUAGGAUCCACCGUACAAGCCAAGUUUAUUGGAAAUAUCGGAAGGCGGAAUAUCCUGGCAGUGAUCGAUUAUCAGAUUACCUUAAAUUAAUUCUAAAAUUGCACCAAAUCAAUUCUCUACCGUCAAUUGGGAGGAAACACAACAAAUUUGCCAUGUUAAUCACACAUAUAUAAAUCCUUAUAAUUAAGGGGUGUAAAAGACAGGGAAUAGCCACAAAUUAAGUAAAAAGAGAUGAAUCAAAAUCACUGCGACAAUCACGCACAUACAUUUUCUAUAAAGAAAAACUUGCCAAAUCAAUUAUCUCAUUUUGCCUUGAAAUAAUGUUCAAUCAAAGCAAAUAAAGACGAAGGGAGUAUCAAUCAUGAGGAAAUUCUUUUCCCUCAAAAUCAAAAUCAAACACACGCAGAAUUUAGGCAUUUUCACACGCAAUAACAUGAAUGCUUAAGCCGAUACGAAUCACAAUAAGCCUUGAAUAACCCUCAUGAUGAAAUCAAAUAAUAAAGAAAACAAGUUGACGAAGGUUGAGAACUCGAAAACACGGAAUCAAACCUUAGUCCCCAAAAUAUGUACUUUUCGGUAGGGAGAACGGAGAUGUAGCUAUGGCGGCUGUUGCAUGUGACGAAGACGUUGUUGUCGCCAGCUGAUGGCGUGAACGGAGGGGAUCUGGCGGCUGGAGUGAUUGAAUCAAGCGGUGACAAGGGGCUGGUCUUCGUUGUUCACGGAUGCUCGAGGUGGUAGCCGGUGGAGCAGCGGCGGCCCGAAGCGGAGAAGAGGAGGGGCUCGGAGGCGGCUGGUGGGCGGCGAGGUCGCGACGGAACGGGAAAGGAGGAGGACGAGAGGGGACUGGUGGUUGGUUGGCGCAGUUGUAGGAGGGGAGGCGGCGCUAUGGUGGUUUUGAGAGAGGUGGAGAGGGAGAGUGUUAGAGAGAGAGAAGGGGAGGGAGGCGGAUGAAAAGAAUUUUAGGGUUAGG